GCACCCAUAGUUCAAUGGAUCAGAACAUGGGAUUCCGGUUCCCAAGAUUAGGGUUCGAUUCCCUAUGGGUGUA
rnacentral:tRNA from 1 species